GUAGUGGCUAGAACUAGGAUGUUAGCAAUGGGGAGAGAAAAUUGGAAGGAUUCAAGAAAUACUUUGCAGACAAAAUCAAUAAAACUUGGUUAUGGAUUAGGGUAGGGUGACAAUGAUGAGGUUUGUAAAUAUGUCAAAACUGCCUGCUACAUUUUAGGUUUGAACAAAACCCAUAAAAAAUGACACGUGAGCUGGGCCUUAAGGACUAAGUUAGAUUUUAGCUCAUAGAGAAGAAAGAAAGAUACUGAGGUGUGAGGAAGUCCUGUGGCAUAUUUGGAAUUCCUUAAAUGGUAUUCUGAUGCAAUAGUAGUAUAGGGCACAGAUUACGAAGACCUUUGAACUCCACAUCCAAGUACUAACCAGGCCCGACACUGCUUAGCUUCUGAGACCAGACUAGAACAGGCAUGUUCGGAGUAGUAUGGUCAUAGACAAAACCUUUGAACUUCUGAUAAAACUUUUGUGCUUGCUUUUUUGUUUAUUUAAUCAGGGCAGCAUCACUUCAGAUCUAUGAUUAUAUCAAACUGUUGGGUAUUCAGGACUGGAGCUUAGGAAAGAGAGAUUCAGGACAAGUAUUUGGAAAUCAUAUGUGAUCAUUAAAACCAUUACAACAUAUGAGCCAGCCCAUAAAGAAUACAAAGGAAGAAGACAAUCAAUGAUUAACCUUUAGGGAUCCCCUGCAUUUAAAGGACAGGUGGAAGGAAAAAUGAGAAAGAAGCUUGAAAGUCACGAAAUCCACAUGGAUAAUAUGAAGUCAAAAUGUAAUCAGGAGGAGGAGAAAAAGGCAGAGGAGUAUCCUCACUUCAGAUGAGAUUAGGGAUAUGUGUAAAAUGCGGGAAAGUGCAAAAUCUUGUAGAAAAGCACCACCUGAAUAAGGCUGUAGCAGUGUGAGCAAUGAAUCUGUUUCAGGACAAUGCAAUGUCACAUUUCUAUGAAAUCCUCAAAAGGAGUCAAAAGCAAGUGUCAUUGGAUAGGCUCCUCGUUAAAGUUGCACAAAAAGAAAAAGAUUCCAUUGAGCCAACAGAUAGCAGGGAUUUCAUUAGUGAUAGUGAAAGUCAUCCUAUACAACAACCCCCUUCUCUCUUGUCUCCCUCACACCAGCCACGAAGGUUUUCAAAGGAGGAAUUAAUAGAAUUUUAACCAGGACAAACUGGGCUGCAGUUAAAGCCAUGGAACUAGACUGAAUCAAAGAAGCUGAGGUAGGCAACCUUUCAACUCAUCCUGAGAUAUUAAUUCAGGCAAUAACCACUCCUAAGGCCACAUGGGUACCAAUGGCUACAUGAGAAAUUCUCCCCAGAAAUAUCAAGAUCACAGGCACAGCCGCAAUAGCCAGUUUGCUCUUGACCUCUUCCAUUCACCUUUUUUUGAACCCAUCUGGUAUUACAAAGUCCAACCUAAAUCUAAUCUUCUCAAAAUAACCCCCAUACUCCAAAAUUAUUCUUCCCCUUUUCCUCAAAUAAAACUCCCAUUUCCAAAGAA